rnacentral:rRNA from 1 species
UACGGAGGGGGCUAGCGUUGUUCGGAAUUACUGGGCGUAAAGCGCGCGCAGGCGGCCCUUUAAGUCCGUCGGUCAAAUGCCGGGGCUCAACCCCGAUGCAUGCCGAGGAUACUGGAGGGCUGGAGACACGUAGAGGCAAGCGGAAUUCCGGGUGUAGCGGUGGAAUGCGUAGAGAUCCGGAAGAACACCGGAGGCGAAGGCGCUCUGCUAGGCCGCAACUGACACUGAGGGACGAAAGCUAGGGGAGCGAAUGGG